CUAUCACUCCUUCACACUCUCCCAUGGUACCCACUCCACACCACCAUCUUCACCAUCAUUUUUCCAACAAGAUUACCGGAAAAACUUGUUAGGAACCCCUGCAUCUUCAUAUCUUUUAUUUGAGGUUCUAGCUAAUCUCCUUUGGAACUUGGAGAAUUAGGAUUUUUGCGGGUUGCAAGGUAAGUAGCUUUUUAAUGAAAUUUUUGGAAAAUAACCAUGACAAAAACAUUGUUUUUGGGUCGGACAUGUUUUUGGAAAUUACUUAAGGAAACUAGUUUCCUAAAAACUAUGUGUUGUAACCUUAAAGCAUAUGUCUAUUUCUGAAAAGUGCAUCAUAUUUGGUAAUGCAUAUGAAGAAAUGCAUGAAUUGUUAACAUAGAAAAUAUGAGCAUUUUUUAUUUAAUCUUUGAUAAUAAAUUCAUGGAUUUUAUGGUAUAUUGGAAAAUUUAAAGGUGCUUAUCUUGUCUUGUAUUAUUUGGAAAAUUGAUAGAAAAUCUUGUUAACAAGGAACGAAAUUGAAAACCUUACAAACUUUGUGGAAGUUUUAGUUAUUUAAGGUUUUUCUUAAACUACAUGGAUAUAAACUAUGUAUUCGAAAGUACAUGCAACCCGUGAGCUUUAUGUUGUUUUAACUCUAUGCCAUGUGUGAUUUCCCGGUGAUCACCUGAUUUGGUUUCCGUAGUCUUUGUGACAACGGAAUUAGAUCUAGGUCAGUACCUUUUCACUUUGGAUGACGCGUUCUUCCCUACUACCCAUGGGAGGAAAAGGUUCCUUGAUUGUGUGUGGGUGAGGCUAUUGCCUAUAGGGCCAAAAGACCACAUGCAAAAGAGGUCCUAUUUGAUGCGUUCUCCCUACUACCCAUGGAGGAAGAGACAAAACCUUGAGAAUAUGGGUGAGACUGCUGCCAAUGGGGCCAAGAAACUACAUACCGGAGAGGACAAUAUCAUGCCAAUUGUGUGGUAGUGUAGUAUAUUUGUGAUACUUUGGCUUAUGUUAGAUUUUAUGACUUUGGAAAUUAUACUGUUAAUGCUCACAGAUUAUAGUAUAUAGUUUCAAGGUAUUUACUUUGAGAAACUUUGUAUUUCAUUAUUUAAUCAUUCUUGUCAUAUUAUUAUUGAAAAUGAUCUUGCAAAAUUCAAUUAGAAAUUCCCAAACUAAGACAUGCUUUAUAAACAGUUCAUCAUCAUGAAACUUGCAUUUCUCCCACCCCCAUUAAUUAUGCUACUUAUUGGGCUCUAUCUCACUCCAUUCUUUUAUAAACCUUUUAAGAGUAGGCAACGAUCAUUUUGAGACAAGUUUUUUUGUGGCUAGCAGUAGUUAGACUAGCUACUAAUAGAGGUUGGACUUUUGUGAUGGUGAUAUUUAGAUGAUUUACAUCCUAGAGUAGGCUUAACUCAUUCUUUUGUAUCUAAUAUUGGUUAUGACUCUAUUUCCACUGAUGGGACAAGUUAAUGAUAUGUAAUUAUAUUUAUUCAAACCUCAAUUCUUUUGUGGCCAAUGGUCCUCAUAAUUAUUGCAUAGAUCUCUGACUUACUUUUGGAGUACCAUUAAUGAAAUUAUUAUGAUAAUUCUUGAUGUUGGUA